rnacentral:tRNA from 1 species
UUGUCUUUAGUUUAAUCGGUAAAACACCUGAUUGUGAAUCAGGAAAACAGGGUUCGAAACCCGAAGGCAAC